rnacentral:rRNA from 1 species
UACGGAGGUGGCAAGCGUUGCUCGGAAUCACUGGGCGUAAAGGGCGCGUAGGCGGUGAGGUAAGUCGGGUGUGAAAUCCCUCGGCCCAACCGAGGAACUGCGCCCGAGACUGCUUCUCUUGAGUCCCGGAGAGGAAGGUGGAAUUCCCGGUGUAGUGGUGGAAUGCGUAGAUAUCGGGAGGAACACCAGUGGCGAAGGCGGUUGCCUGGAGCUUUGCUGACGCUGAUGCGCGAAAGCGUGGGGAGCGAUCCGG